AUGAAUUUCAUCACGGGAUUGCCCAGGACUCAUUCAGGCUAUGACUCGAUUUGGGUUGUAGUCGAUCGUUUGACGAAGGUAGCUCAUUUCAUUCCAGUAAAGACUACCUACAGCGGUGCCAAACUGGCUAAGAUAUACAUGACAAGGAUUGUAUGUUUGCAUGGAGUUCCGAGGAGUAUCGUAUCAGAUAGAGGAACCCAAUUCACCUCGAAGUUCUGGAAGCAAUUGCACAAAACAUUGGGAACCAGGCUGGAGUUUAGCACAGCUUUCCAUCCGCAGACAGAUGGACAGACCGAGAGAGUCAAUCAGAUUUUGGAGGAUAUG
rnacentral:rRNA from 1 species